rnacentral:rRNA from 1 species
AUACAGAGGUCCCAAGCGUUGUUCGGAUUCACUGGGCGUAAAGGGUGCGUAGGCGGUCGGAUAAGUCUGACGUGAAAUCCUGGAGCUUAACUCCGGAACUGCGUCGGAAACUAUUUGGCUAGAGGAUUGGAGGGGGGACUGGAAUUCUCGGUGUAGCAGUGAAAUGCGUAGAUAUCGAGAGGAACACCCGUGGCGAAGGCGAGUCCCUGGACAAUUCCUGACGCUGAGGCACGAAAGCUAGGGGAGC